rnacentral:rRNA from 1 species
CUUGUUCUUUAAAUAGGGACUCGUAUCAACGGCAUCACGAGGGUUACACUGUCUCCUCCCUCCAAUCAGUGAAAUUGAUCUCCCCGUGAAGAAGCGGGGAUGAACUAAUAAGACGAGAAGACCCCAUGGAGCUUUAAACCUCACAGCAACUCUAAUAUUUAAUUCCUCAUAAUUUACAGGGCAGUGCACGUCGGUUUUAGGUUGGGGCGACCGCGGAGUAAAAAUUAACCUCCACAACGAAAAGAACUAAAUCUUUAUUUAAGAGCAACUACUCUAAAAAUUAGCAUACUAACGAACAAUGAUCCGAUUAUCGAUCAACGGACCAAGUUACCCUGGGGAUAACAGCGCAAUCUACUUCAAGAGCCCAUAUCAACAAGUAGGCUUACGACCUCGAUGUUGGAUCAGGGUAUCCCGGUGGUGCAGCCGCUACUAAUGGUUCGUUUGUUCAACGAUUAAAACCCU